UGCUCGCUUCGGCAGCCAUAUACUAAAAUUGGAACGAUACAGAGAAGAUUAUAUGGUCCUCUGCGCAGUAUGACUUGCAAAUUCCAUGAAGCAUUCCAUAUUUUU
rnacentral:snRNA from 1 species